GUCAGCCCACUCCACCUCAGCUGUACGACUGCAUGAAGUCAGGGGAAAGGCAUUCGUGCAGGGAUCUGUUUUUCUCGUUGGUGAAUGGAUUGUUCUGUACACUGCAGUGUGACAACAGUAGCUAUCACAUUUCUGAGUUAAUAAAACACCCUGACACUGGCUGAGACGCUACCUCAUAGCGCCGGCUGCGCCUCUCGCGUUCCCGCAGCCACGGCCUGCACCUUCCACCAGUGCUGGCACCCCGAUCCUCACCCCUGAGGACUCCCUGACAUCUCAGUGACAGGGGAACCACACACACCCAGAUACCUCGGCUGCUGAAAGGAGGAGGUUGCUGGAAUGGCAGGAAGGCUGUGAGGGGGACAUGGCCCAGAUUUCAGGCCUGCUGGUUUCUAACUGGGAUCUUAGGGUGGAUGGUGUGUGGCACACCCAGCCCGGACCUCAGGCAAGUGUGUGAGACCUCAGUCAGCCCUUCCAGCUCUGGGCACUGACCUGGUUUUACUCUUUAGUAAGGGUAUUUGUACUCUUCCUAAAUGUACUCCAUGUUUAGAGGAGCCUGAGCUGUUUUAAAUGGCACUGCUGGCCUGGAGAAAGCCUCUGCUGCCUCCUUGUGAAACACAGGGCUCCUGAGAGCUCCUUCUGUUAUCCCUCACAUUCCCCCUGCAUACUCCCAAGAUAAACAAAUUCUGUUCUUUGAAGGACGUCUGUGACUCACCCUGACCACUAACAGCCCACACAUUUCAGAUGAUAUAAAGAUCCUUUAAACACCUGAAACUAUAUUUCUGUGGAUCCUGUCACUGACAGCACAGUAAUGAACUGACUGAGGAGCUCUAACAGGGAGCACAAUGCAGGGAGGUUUUCAUUUUUAACCUUUGUUUAAACAAGAAGACAGAAUUGAUUGCUAAAAGGACCUUGCUGAACAGCCUUCAGUUUGUAUUGAAGACAAUUUCCAUGAAAACUGGAGCUGCCUGUUGCUGCCAUCACCAAGGAAGGGGCAACAGACACAAUCAUUUGUGAUUAAGUAGCUAAGGAACACAGGAAUUUAGACCCAAGUCUCUGAAGCUGUGGUUGGUGUUCCUCCUCCCAUCUUUCAAGAAAAAUCACCCCAGAAAGAAUUGUUAUUCUUCAGCUUGGACAACUUCACAGACUAAUUCUUUGAGCAGCUGCAGCUCCACCAGGGCAACAGACAGGACGAUACUGGGAGAUAAAUAUUGGCCAGGGAAUGGUCAGGAUCACAUAAACUCACACCUUUUCUGGAGGAAGACAGAGUGAACCAAGAUCUCCAUGUGUGAGAUUUAAUUAUAAGCAUAUGCAUGUCUAAUUACAGGCAUGUGAAUUCUUUUAUGAAGAUUUUUGGCUUUGAUACUUAAUUUACUUGGAGAUUAACACUUCCUAUACUACUGAAGUAAGAGAUUCUGAAACUAUUAACCUCUGGCUGCUUCACUUGUACUUGAUAGUUUUGAAUUGUGCUACUAUUUAACAGUUCCCAGGACAGCCUGUCUGAGUGUGUUGUAUUUCCCUCUUGGUUUAAGGUCUGUUCCAAAGCCCACCAAAGCCUCUGGUUGUCUUUGGAUCAAGCCAGCAGCCUAUAAUAGUUUUAUAAGUAUUAUAAACCAUUUCCCUUACAGGAGAGUCCUAAGGAAUUUAAUACUGAUGAAACAAAUGAAGAACUGCAAAGAAAAAAGUCCUUCUAGAGAAGUUUCUCAAGGAACCCAUUGUAACUCAAUAGAGAAGGUGAUUGAUUCUUCCAAAAAAAUAUUCCUGUUUAUAUCAUUCACUGAAUUAGAAUAAAGGAAACAGCCAACAGAAGCCCCCACACAGCAGAUUCCAACUGUACACCCUCUAAACAUGGGCAGGAGGCAGCAGGUGAAGGCAUCUACUUCAGAGGUUCUGUGCUAGGACAAAGCCAGCCCAUUAAGGGAAUUCUCCACAUGAAUUCAGCAGCCCCUGCCCAAGGCUGAGCUCGACCACAGAGCAGAUCUGCACACCCUGAGUUUGUUUCCUCAUCCUGCCUAAUUCUUUCUGGUGUUUGUAGGCAGUAGGUCUGAGCUUACACAUGCACACCUCGUUCAUUAUGUUCUCUGGGAAAAGUCACCACUUCAAUUACCUUGUACAGCAUGGCUCUGGGUAAAUCCCUGCUUGGAAACACGUGCUUGGUUUUCAGAGGGUGCUGCUAGAAGUGUUAGCAGCAUUCCAAGUGCUGCAGUAGACUUCCACACCACAAACACCAUUUUAUAUCCUUUACAACUGUGCACAUCUAACAGUGAACAAUAAAUCUAUCUUACUAAUUACACAUUCAGCUUGUUAUAACCAUCAUAAAAGUACAGCUGGUAAAGCCAUGAAAUGAUGUCAAAUCAUAUUUCUGCUUUCUGGAGAGAAGCUGGGUUAUUUUCCAGUCUCCUGAUGAAGCUGAGUGCUCAAAGCCAUGUGUGGAAACAGCUGCCAACUAUGUCAUCCACCUUUAAUUAGGUAAUGAUAUUGUCUUUUUUCCUACCCAUUCAAAAGUGCUUGACAUUCUGUAAUUCAAAGUGACUUAGGUGUUUAUCAUAAAAAGCUGCCUCAGGAAGAAAUUGAAGCACAUGGUACUAAAUCAGAACCAAUGUUUUCUCCUUAGCAGCCAAGUUCAGGCUGCUCAGCCACAGUUAUCUAAAAGAAUGGAAUUGCCUGUAUUUCAAAGAGGGUAUCUGAAGUAUGGCCAGCUAAAUAUGUUUCUGAAGCCCCCUUAGAAAUGUGAGCUUCUGCAGCAGUGUGGGGAAGCACAGCCAGUUCUUCAUGGCAACCCAGACAGAGGAACACAAAAUCUCUCUUAAAAAAUUGUCUGAGAUUUGUAAGAAAACACUGGUCUAACAAAAAAAGUGUUAGCUUAUUCAGGCUGGAGUUAAUGGAGUCUGGCUGCUGGAUGCCCUCUCUUGCAGACAACAGACACUGGAAGAACAUCCCAGCAAGUGGCAGCUGAACAACACAAGCUUUGGAAAAAACAAGGGGCUACUUGCAACAUGAAAGGGAGGUAAAUUAAAUUUUCACAUGUUCGGAGGAAAUACCACAGGACACGUUUAUACAAAUAUGUCUGAAUAAAACAGGCAGCAUCUGUUUGAAAAGCUGGCUCAUUAGCUGCCCCCACAGUUCCCGACGCAAUUUGGCUGGACAAGCAGUAAUGCUAAAAAAAUUAAAUUUUACCUUCCCAUAUCUGGAUGCAAAGGUUCCCGUGAGUAAGGAGUGAAAAAUAAUUAUCGUCUCAUCCAAAUCCCAUACAAACACACGCUGUGAUGACAGAUGGGGUGGAAAAAAGAAAUAUAGUUACAUAUUAAGCAACUGCAAGAACAGGUUCAGUCAGGAAAUAUGUCCUGUUGGACUAGAGAUUUUUAAGAUCUCAAGCCAUUUGGAGCACUGACUGGAUGUUUUUUGAAAGCAGGCAAAAUGAAACAUCAGGAAUUUUGGAACUGCCAUCCCAAGAGCUUGCUCUCCUAACAACCACAGAAAUCCCCUGUUGCCUAUCAAGUCAGGGGAACAAAACAUCAGACUUACAAAAAACCCAAAGGAAAAAAAAAGGGUACAUAUGAAGAAUAGUUUGAGAUGUUGAUAACACAGAAAUUGAGCAAUUGUUUAGACUACUUGUGCCUGCAGGUUCCAGUUGUAUUAGUAAUUUUGUUCUGUCUCUCAGAUUUGCUAACAGAGGCAACUGCUCAUCUUUGCUGGAUGUACCAAAGGAAUAUAAAUUGAAGUUAUUACCUCAAUC